GUCUCCAUGAACUUGCUUGUCCCCAGCUGACAGCCUCUAAGCCCCUGGCCUGUAGCUUUUCCCAGGCUUACCAUCCCAUCCCCUUCAGCUGGAACAAGAAGCCAAAGGAGGAAAAGUUCUCGAUGGUAAUCCUUGCCCGUGGGUCUCCAGGGGAGGCCACUCGCUGGCCCCAGAUCACUCAGCCUGUCCUUAAACGGCCACGCCAUGUGCAUUGUCACCUGUGCUGUCCAGAUGGGCACGUGCAGCAUGCUGUGAUCACAGCUCGCCGGCACGGCAGGGAUUUGUAUCGCUGCGCCCGUGUCAGCUCCUGAGGCGAUCUUUUACCUGUGACC